rnacentral:rRNA from 1 species
CUACGGGUGGCACCAGUGAGGAAUAUUGCACAAUGGGGGGAACCCUGAUGCAGCAACGCCGCGUGGAGGAUGACGCAUUUCGGUGUGUAAACUCCUUUUAUAUGUCAAGAAAAUGACGGUAGCAUAUGAAUAAGCACCGGCUAACUCCGUGCCAGCAGCCGCGGUAAUACGGAGGGUGCAAGCGUUACUCGGAAUCACUGGGCGUAAAGGACGCGUAGGCGGGUUGGAAAGUCAGGUGUGAAAUCCUACAGCUUAACUGUAGAACUGCACUUGAAACUUCUAAUCUAGAGUAUGGGAGGGGAAGAUGGAAUUAGUGGUGUAGUGGUAAAAUCCGUAGAUAUCACUAGGAAUACCUAAAGCGAAGGCGAUCUCCUGGAACAUUACUGACGCUAAGGCGUGAAAGCGUGGGGAGCAAACAGGAUUAGAUACCCGGGUAGUC